AUUUCUCAACCCCUCUCAAUUAGCUUUGAGGGGGAGCUUGGAUAGUGGGUGUUGCCAGAGACUCUUACUUGUGUAAGACUUGGGCUCACCUGAAAUGCAUUGGCUUGCAGUCAACCUUUUGACUUUGCAUGAUAAGGCUUUCGGUGUGAUAAUGAUCACCGUGUGCUGAAGUGUAUGAAUAAAGGUUCUGUGCCUCUAAUAUAUGGGUUGACCUUUACUAUAUAGUAAAGUCUUUUCCCCCCCUUUUGACUU
rnacentral:misc_RNA from 1 species